rnacentral:lncRNA from 1 species
AUGAUGUUAUGGCUUUGCACAAAACUCCAAAGCAAAGAAACCCUACCUCUCUUUUUGAACUAUGACGGCAGACGAUACCUCCUCUCUUCAUCGAAGUUGCACCUCCUCAAUUCUGGAUUUGGUUGAUCAAAUUGUGUUAAACAAGUAACUAAUCCUACCGAGCAAACCGAAGGGCGUUAGGCAUCUUGGUAUUGGGAAGCUUGCUAUCUGGGAGUGCUGGAGUGGUCAUGGAUCGAGGCUCUUGGAUUAAAUUACAUUUGCUACAUUGGUUUUAAGCGUUACUAUGAAACAAUUGCUAAACAACUUAUUACAUGCUUCCGCUACACAACUUUUGAGAAUUAAUAGUAUGUUGAUAACUUAUUCUGGUAAAAUAAUGUCAUGACUUAUUUAGAUAUUUAUCAUUGGUUCAAUGUGAUUGGUG